UGUCAAGCCAUUUGACCCCUAGUCCAUGACUUUCUAUUGUUGUUCCACAAUUGAACGUUAUACAGAGUCUACCUUAACUAAAUUCAAAAUCAAACGUUAACCAGGUCCAAUGCAUUUAGGAUGAAAUGUCCUAGGGAAAAACAUAAAGAUUAAAC